rnacentral:rRNA from 1 species
CUAACCGUAAACGAUGACAACCAGCGAUUAAUCGGCGUUAAUAUACGACCCGAUUAGCAGCUUCCGGGAAACCAAAGUUUUUCGUUUCCGGGGGAAGUAUGGUUGCAAAGCUGAAACUUAAAGGAAUUGACGGAAGGGCACCACCAGGAGUGGAGCCUGCGGCUUAAUUUGACUCAACACGGGAAAACUCACCCGGCCCGGACACUGUAAGGAUUGACAGACUGAGAGCUCUUUCUUAAUUCAGUGGGUGGUGGUGCAUGGCCGUUCUUAGUUGGUGGAGCGAUUUGUCUGGUUAAUUCCGAUAACGAACGAGACUCUGGCCUAUUAAAUAGACGAGGUAUUUACGUGUAUCUCGCGCUUCUUAGAGGGACAAGCGGCGUCUAGUCGCAUGAAAAAGAGCAAUAACAGGUCUGUGAUGCCCUUAGAUGUCCGGGGCUGCACGCGCGCUACACUGAAAGAAUCAGCGUGCAUUUAAACCUAGUCCGGAAGGACCGGGUAACCCAAGUAAAUUCUUUCGUGCUUGGGAUAGGGAAUUGCAAUUAUUUCCCUUAAACGAGGAAUUCCCAGUAAAUGCGGGUCAUAAGCUCGCGUUG